AGAGUUUGAUCAUGGCUCAGAACGAACGCUGGCGGCGUGCCUAACACAUGCAAGUCGAACGUGAUUAGAGAGCUUGCUCUUUAUGAAAGUGGCGCACGGGUGAGUAACGCGUAGAUAAUCUGCCUGGUGAUCCGGGAUAACACUUCGAAAGGGGUGCUAAUACCUGAUAAGCCCACGGAGUCUUUGGAUUCUGCGGGAAAAGGGGGGGACCUUCGGGCCUUCUGUCACCAGAUGAGUCUGCGUACCAUUAGCUAGUUGGUAGGGUAAAGGCCUACCAAGGCKACGAUGGUUAGCUGGUCUGAGAGGAUGAUCAGCCACACUGGAACUGAGACACGGUCCAGACUCCUACGGGAGGCAGCAGUGGGGAAUUUUGCGCAAUGGGGGAAACCCUGACGCAGCAACGCCGCGUGAGUGAUGAAGGCCCUUGGGUCGUAAAGCUCUGACAGAGGGAAAGAAAUGUGGGUGGCUAAUAUCCAUACCACUUGACGGUACCCUCAAAGGAAGCACCGGCUAACUCCGUGCCAGCAGCCGCGGUAAUACGGGGGGUGCAAGCGUUGUUCGGAUUUAUUGGGCGUAAAGCGCGUGUAGGCGGUUUUAUAAGUCUGAUGUGAAAGCCCCGGGCUCAACCUGGGAAGUGCAUUGGAUACUGUAGGACUUGAAUACGGGAGAGGGCAGUGGAAUUCCUGGUGUAGGAGUGAAAUCCGUAGAUAUCAGGAGGAACACCGGUGGCGAAGGCGGCUGCCUGGACCGAUAUUGACGCUGAGACGCGAAAGCGUGGGUAGCAAACAGGAUUAGAUACCCUGGUAGUCC
rnacentral:rRNA from 1 species